AUUGAACGCUGGCGGCAGGCCUAACACAUGCAAGUCGAACGGCAGCACAGAAGAGCUUGCUCUUUGGGUGGCGAGUGGCGGACGGGUGAGUAAUGUCUGGGAAACUGCCCGAUGGAGAGGGAUAACCACUGGAAACGGUAGCUAAUACCGCAUAACGUCGCAAGACCAAAGUGGGGGACCUUCGGGCCUCACACCAUCGGAUGUGCCCAGAUGGGAUUAGCUAGUAGGUGGGGUAAUGGCUCACCUAGGCGACGAUCCCUAGCUGGUCCGAGAGGAUGACCAGCCACACUGGAACUGAGACACGGUCCAGACUCCUACGGGAGGCAGCAGUGGGGAAUAUUGCACAAUGGGCGCAAGCCUGAUGCAGCCAUGCCGCGUGUAUGAAGAAGGCCUUCGGGUUGUAAAGUACUUUCAGCGGGGAGGAAGGCGGUGAGGUUAAUAACCUUGCCGAUUGACGUUACCCGCAGAAGAAGCACCGGCUAACUCCGUGCCAGCAGCCGCAGUAA
rnacentral:rRNA from 1 species